rnacentral:rRNA from 1 species
GACGAACGCUGGCGGCGUGCUUAACACAUGCAAGUCGAACGGUGAAGCGCCUUCCUUUUUGGUGGGUGUGGAUGAGUGGCGAACGGGUGAGUAACACGUGAGUAACCUGCCCCCUUCUUCUGGAUAACCGCAUGAAAGUGUGGCUAAUACGGGAUAUUCUGGGUCUGUCGCAUGAUGGGUCUGGGAAAGAUAUUGUUUCGGUGGGGGAUGGGCUCGCGGCCUAUCAGCUUGUUGGUGGGGUGAUGGCCUACCAAGGCGGUGACGGGUAGCCGGCCUGAGAGGGUGGACGGUCACACUGGGACUGAGACACGGCCCAGCCUCCUACGGGAGGCAGCAGGGGGGAAUAUUGCACAAUGGGCGCAAGCCUGAUGCAGCGACGCCGCGUGAGGGAUGGAGGCCUUCGGGUUGUGAACCUCUUUCGCCAGUGAAGCAGGCCUGCCUCGUUUGUGGGUGGGUUGACGGUAGCUGGAUAAGAAGCGCCGGCUAACUACGUG